rnacentral:sRNA from 1 species
GGUUAACGCGAGGAGGCAGACAUGGGACUCACGCAAUCCUUGAAUGUUCUGUUGGUCAGUGCAGCGUUUGCUUUCGUCUUAUCCAUGCUCUUCAUCUGAGCCGGCGACGAAAGCGGGAUGACAGGCAAUGCCUGAACUCCCCAAUAACUGAUCAAGCCGCCAAUGAAAAAGCGCAUGUCCGGGAGGAUAUGCGCUUU